AUGGGGAAAGACAGAGAAGAGAACCCAUGACAGAGAUGAGCUGCAUAGGUCUAGUAUUUGAAUUUAUGUUUGCCUGUUAUUUUAACAAUUAAAGAUGUUGAAACCAGAAUGGUUUGUUUUCUGGCUGUGUUUGGGAGACCAACAACGCUUACCACAGUAGUGCCAAACGUGUGGGCCAACACACAGAGACUAAAGUGCAGACGGAGACGGCGAUGUGCGAAUGGCGGCGGAGUACUUUGCCAUGUUCCAGGAGCAGGCAGCGGACAGCAGACGGCAGCUGGAGGCUCUCCAGAGGGAAGGCGGAGAGGCGGACAACACUGCUGGAGUGUACCCUGGCCAGGUCGGGACCCGCUCCGGUUCCUGCCUGCCGCACAGCAGUGAAGUCGCUCCUCUUCCGGGGGCCCACUCUGCUGUGAAGAUGGUGGCGCCUGCUCCAAUCGGCUGUGUUGUCGGCGCUCCCCUGCCGCUGGUCCCACGUCGGCUGUGAUGUCGACGCUCUCCCCUGCUCCAGCAGAUUAGGCCGGGUAGCCAUCAGGCCUAAUCUACUGCAGCAGGUCUUGGUUUGGCGAUGGAGGUAUGUGGAGGUGGCUCAUCGGUGCACCUCCAGGUGAACCAGGGAGAGUAAAUUGGCAGAGCUGAGGUUAGUUUCCAAUUCGCUCUCUCCCUGGAUUCAAAUGGCAGCAGGAGAGCAGCCACAGAGGAGAGAGACAUGGAAAGAAACCCAUAAAGGACAAACACAUGAGAAGAGACUGGACAGAGCUAAGUUGUGAGGAGAUGAAAAUCCACCGACUGUCAACUCAAAGGCUAUUGUACAAGAAGGCAUCGUCUCCCGGCCACGUCAUCACCUCAGAACCCCAGUCGAUCCAAGGCAACUCAGGAUGGGACUCAGUAGUUUCUAUGGCUUCCACGUGCCUGUAUGCACUCCUGACAAUGUCUGGGCAUGUUCCUGAUGAGUCGGCGGAUGGUGUCAUGGGGGAUCUCCUCCCAGACCUGGAUCAGAGGGCAUCAGUGAGCUCCUGGACAGUCUGUGGCAGUAUUUGUUGUUGUCGGAUGCACCGAUAGAUAAUGUCCCAUAGGUGCUCAAUUGGAUUUAGGUCAGGGGAACGUGAGAGCCAGUCAAUGGAAUAAAUGCCUUCGUCAUCCAGGAACUGCCUACACAC